rnacentral:rRNA from 1 species
UACGAAGGUCCCCAAGCGUUGUUCGGAAUCACUGGGCGUAAAGGGUGCGUAGGCGGUUUGGUAAGUCAGAUGUGAAAUCCCGGGGCUCAACCCCGGAACUGCAUCCGAUACUGCCGGACUUGAGGACUGGAGAGGUGACUGGAAUUCUCGGUGUAGCAGUGAAAUGCGUGGAGAUCGAGAGGAACACUCGUGGCGUAAGCGAGUCACUGGACAGUAUCUGACGCUGACGGCACGAAGGCCAGGGUAGCGAAAGGG